GACAGAGGGGGCAAGCGUUGCUCGGAAUUACUGGGCGUAAAGGGCGCGUAGGCGGGAUGGCAAGUCGGUCGUGAAAUCCCUCGGCUCAACUGAGGAGCGUCGAUCGAAACUGCCGUUCUUGAGGGUUGCAGAGGAGACUGGAAUUCCCGGUGUAGCGGUGAAAUGUGUAGAGAUCGGGAGGAACACCGGUGGCGAAGGCGGGUCUCUGGGCCGAUACUGACGCUGAGGAGCGAAAGCGUGGGGAGCAAACAGG
rnacentral:rRNA from 1 species